CAAAUUAAAAAAGGAAAGGAGAGGGAAAAAAAAAGUAAAAGGAGGGUCGUUCGUGGGACAUCUUCGAAGCUCAGCAGCACGCGUGGCGUCCAAGCCGCAGUGAAACCCUCCACGCCAGUGAAUCCCACCACAGUGGCAAGAAGAAAGCUGGCAGUGGCCACUGCGCCCAAGUAUCGCAGGUGUCAGAGUCAUCGUGGCUUUCUGGCUGGAAGAUGAUUCCUGCAACAGAACCAUGUCGCUGAUGAUAAACCGCAGGGUCGUUGGAAGAUGCCUUCCUUGAGGAUUACACCUGGAGAAAGCCCAUCAGUCAAGGGGAGAGCUGGCUGGUGAAACUGUCUGACUUUCCCCCCCACCGGGGAAGUGGCUUCAAUGGCUCCAUCUCCCAGGAGAAGCAGUAGGAAAGAUGCCAACACCUUGCCAAGCAUGUCUUCAACUUUCUGGGCUAUCAUGAUCCUGGCCAGUCUCCUAAUCGCUUACUGCAGUCAACUGGCUGCAGGUACAUGUGAGAUUGUUACUUUGGACAGAGAUAGCAGUCAGCCCCGAAGGACUAUAGCCCGACAAACAGCUCGCUGUGCAUGUAAAAAAGGACAGAUUGCCGGUACAACAAGAGCAAGGCCAGCAUGUGUUGAUGCACGAAUUAUCAAAACAAAACAGUGGUGUGAAAUGCUUCCAUGUUUAGAAGGAGAAGGCUGUGAUUUGCUAAUCAAUAAAUCAGGCUGGACCUGUACGCAACCAGGAGGACGGAUAAAGACAACCACGACUGAAGACCAGCUGGAAAUGUCCUGAGGCCAUGGUCUACUGGUCUGAGCUUGGGACUGGGAGCCAGAAACUCCUGAGCUCUAAUCCCGGCUCUGACAGUGACUCCCUCUGUGGCCUUGGGUCUCCUGACAAAUGCAGCAACACAGAAUCCUCGUAGGAGUGGUUUAGGCUCUCUGUGAGCUACUUAACUUAGUCAAGUUUCACUGCUGUUGAUCAUCAUCCGUUAUAUGUCAUCAACUCAACUGUCUGUUUCUCUGUAUCUCAUGAGUGACAGCAUAAUUCCUCUACAUUAUGAGCUAAAGUUUGUUCUACCAUUCUAAGGAUCACUGGACUAAGGAAUACAGAAAAAGAGAUAUGCUUGGGCAUUAGCAAUACAAACAAGUUCAUGGUUAACGUUUCAUCUGCGUUAUACACCACUGCUGGACUUGCUGUUACCUACACGUUUCAAUCCGAAGAGUCUGCUACAAUGAAGAGUAUCAUCCCAAUCAGCCUUAGAGAAGACUGUUUUGCCUAUGGGAGGACACUGAGGUGCAAAAGAGAAACUCUUCUUGUGCCCUAAACUGUCUGAAUUGCUUUUAUUUUCUUAUACUUUCAGUAUAUACAAUAGACCAAAGAGCAAAAUCUAUUUUAAAGUGGACACAAUCUUACUCUUAACAGAAUUAUGUCAUUUAAUUGAAGGAGGUCUCCACAAACAUGAUUCCAGCUUUCAAAAAGAUGAAAUGUUGUUGUCCAGCAGAAGUCUUUACGGAAAGCUGCAGUAAAAACUAACUCAGAGACCUGCUCUUGAAAUGCCACGUUCAAGAGAACAUUAUGGAGCACUGAGAGAAAAUGACCUAUGUUUGAAAAACUUGGACAAAAGAACACAAACUGUCUACACGGCACCUUUAUUCCUCUGUACUUAGAUUGACUUUCUCGUACUAAAAUCAUUUUCAGUUUUAACCAGUUAAACAUGCCUCUUCUACAGUUCCAUUUUUGAUAGUUAAAGUUGGAUAAUACAGUAUUUGCAAAGAGCAUGUUUGGUCAUCUGUGGCCUAUGUCUCAUCUGAUACACCAUUUAGCACCAGAAAGCAAAUUAAAGAGAAAACAAAAGUAACAUUUGUUUGAAAGAGAUCAUUAAAUGUAUUUUGAAAAGCCUAAAGUUAUAUAUUUAACAGUUUUUAUAUGUUGUAUAUUUGUAGAAAAUCCUAUUUAACAAUUAACGUGAUAACUCUGACAGUCAUGACAAGUGGUUCAGAGUUAAGUUGUGUUUUAUUACUUCAGUUGUCUCUGAAGUGACUGGUGUCGUUUGCUUUCUUCCAUGGGGACAUUCUGGAUGUAAAGCAUGACCAGAGAGGACUGUGUAGAAAAAGCAAAGAAUAAUGUUGUUUAUAUUACAUAAAUGCAUUCAACCAUUGCACUGUUGGAAGGCAUUUUUAUUUUUAUUUUAUUUUUAUUUUUUGUCUUUAUGUACUGAUAAAAAUAGAGUGUAAAAUAUUUUACUCAUUGCUCUUCAUAGCAAGGUUUGUUUUUCUUUCUUUCUUUCUCUUUCUCUCCCCUAUUUUAUGUAAGGGUCAGUUUGAAGCCUGUUCCUUGAUCCCAUUUUCAGUGUUUUACCUCAUUGUUAGAAAGUCCACUUUUUCGGCAUUAUUGGUUAGUGAAAAUUUAGCAAAGACAGCAUAGACAAGGGAGAAAUUAUGACAAAACAGAGAAACAAAACCUUGUUCCCUUUUACCUUACCUUUUGGCAUAUAGGUUUGGUACACAUUGGUAUGAUGCAAUCAACAAGGGAGCUUAAUUUCUUCCUGGCAAAUGUGUUAUGGUUUCAAGUAUACUACCUAAUACUCAAAUUAACUUUUAGUGUUAUGCUCGUUCUGUUCUACUAAAGAAAAAUAUAUAGAGAUUAUUCAAGUGACCAUAGAUGAGAGAUACAAAAAUGAAAAGUUGAUAAAAGAAUUUUUUUUAAAGCCUGCUCAAACGCUGAGGCUUAUUUAAUGCAGAGGUUGCAGGAAACAUGACCUGUAUUGUAUCAGUUUGUCUUCAAGUAAAAUAAAUAUAUACAAAAUUCUUAUUUAAUCAUAGGAUUUUGACCAGUAUCAAAGUAGCAAUUAAAGCCCAGCCACUUGUAAAGUGUAAUGGACUGACUGCACUAUAAAUGACCGAUGUCAGGUUUAAAAUGUCAUGCAAUAAAUGAUGGUAAAUACAUUUACUGUACAUGUAGACCUCAAGAGCCAGAUCCUUCACUCUACCAACUCUCUGUUUUGAUUUAUUUUAAAGGGAGUGUAGUAGCCUUAUUUAGUAAACACAGAAAAAUGAAAGAUGUUACAUCAUUUUUGUUGCUUUACAGUAUUCAGUUUUGUGUUGGUUCAGCUAAAUUAUGAAAAAUAAAGAAAAUCCUUUUCUAAGUGAGACUUGUUCCCUGAGCAUGACGUCACCAAAGGAAUUUCACCAGAUGAUAAGGUGGGAGCACAGAGAGGAAGAUGGAAUUGGAAAUUGAGGACAUGGGUUGUGUUUUGAAGUUUUACCUUUCCAUUUUCAUGUCUUGGGUACCUUCAUUUUGGUAUGCUUAGUUACAGAUCAUAUUAAGGUCAUUUAUUUUCUGGAAAUCAGAUCCUCUAGGAACUCGGGUAUCUAAGAAUGUACAUUUGAAAUCUUUACAUCUAAAAUCAUACAUUCCAAUCAGUUUUGAAUAUGCAAUCUUAUGUCUUUGUUUUCUAAGCACUUUAAAAGCUCAACAGAAGGUAGAUGUACGUUGUUUAUAAGGUCCACUCUGGAGAAGAACUAUCAAAGGCAAAAGAUUCUGAUUAUUCU